rnacentral:rRNA from 1 species
AUACGAAGGUCCCAAGCGUUAUUCGGAAUCACUGGGCGUAAAGAGUAUGUAGGCGGUUUGGUAAGUCAGGUGUGAAAUCCCGAAGCUCAACUUCGGAACUGCAUCCGAUACUGCUAGACUUGAGUAAUGGAGAGGCAGGUGGAAUCCUCGGUGUAGCAGUGAAAUGCGUGGAUAUCGAGAGGAAGACCAAUGGCGAAGGCAGCCUGCUGGACAUUUACUGACGCUGAGAUACGAAGGCUAGGGUAGCGAAAGGGAUUAGAAACCCGAGUAGUCC